ensembl:misc_RNA 7SK 7SK RNA
GGCAGUUUGGGUCGUCUCUGGCUCCCCAGCGAUGGAACAUAGCGGCCCACUGAUCGCCAGAGUUAUUCAGCUGAUCUGGCUUCCUAGGCGGCUAUCCCCUUCAUCCCUCACCACUCCAUGUGCGUCCCUCCCAAAGCUUGAAGCUCUGUCGAAGAGGACAGCCUUCCCCAAAUAGAGACAGACCGGUCUUUGGUCGAAGGUAUAUAAGUAGUUGAGCUCCCCAGCUAGAACCUCCAAACAAGCUCUCAAGGAUCAGCUCUUUGUUGAUACCAUCUGCUUUAUGGUGAAAUGCACCUCAUUCCCAUAUGAUUUUAUAUCUCUCAUC